UACGUAGGGGGCAAGCGUUAUCCGGAUUUACUGGGUUUAAAGGGAGCGCAGGCGGCGAGUUAAGUCAGCGGUAAAAUUUCGGGGCUCAACCCCGACAAGCCGUUGAAACUGGCUUGCUAGAGUGGGCGAGAAGUAUGCGGAAUGCGUGGUGUAGCGGUGAAAUGCUUAGAGAUCAUACAGAACACCGAUUGCGAAGGCAGCUUACCAAGCUACUUCUGACGUUGAGGCACGAAAGCGUGGGGAGCAAACAGG
rnacentral:rRNA from 1 species